rnacentral:rRNA from 1 species
AUGGUUGAUCUAUUGAAUGCAGAGUUGGGAAAGCAGCCUUCACAAAUUUGGCGGGUAGUGCAUGCAGGGUUGGAUGUUCUCAAGCAGGGACUAAUCCGGCGUAUUGGUGAUGGGGAAUCCACCCUGGUAUGGAACCAUAAUUGGAUUCCAAGAGAUAAUCUGCUUCGAGCUCUGCACCCAAUAUCCGAUGAUCAACCAGGGUUUGUUUCAGAAUUGAUUGAGGGUCCAUCGCGAACAUGGAAUCGAGCUGUUGUUUUUCGGCAUAUGAACCGGGUUGAUGCAGAUUCUGUUCUUAACAUUCCCCUGAGCACGUCAUCGACUUGUGACCAGUGGGCUUGGCAGUAUGAAAAAUCUGGGGUAUUUUUGGUUCGUUCAGCUUACCGCAUGCUUGUGGACACAAAAAAGAUAAGAGAAGAUUGGUUGGAGAAUUGA